ACAUGAAUAACCUUGGAAUCUUGUUAAAAAGCAGAUUCUGGUUCAGUAGGUCCGGACUGUGGCCUGAGACUCUGCAUUUCCCUCGGGCUUCCUAGUGACAAAC
rnacentral:pre_miRNA from 1 species